rnacentral:rRNA from 1 species
UACGAAGGGGGCUAGCGUUGCUCGGAAUCACUGGGCGUAAAGCGCACGUAGGCGGCUUCUUAAGUCAGGGGUGAAAUCCUGGAGCUCAACUCCAGAACUGCCCUUGAUACUGAGGAGCUUGAGUCCGGGAGAGGUGAGUGGAACUGCGAGUGUAGAGGUGAAAUGCGUAGAUAUUGGGAGGAACACCGGUGGCGAAGGCGGCUAUCUGGACCGGUACUGACGCUGAUACGCGAAAGCGUGGGGAGCGAACAGG